UCCGGAAUGGUGUAACGGCUUUAACAUUGCCGCCUUUCACAGCACGUGAUCGCGGCAGCUCGGGGUUCGACUCCCCGUUCCGGAA